rnacentral:misc_RNA from 1 species
CCGCCCCCCCCUCCCCCCCACUCCCCUAAUAAUAUGGAGGUGAGGCACAUCGAAGUGGCGUACCCUGAAGACGUGGUGGGGGUGUUGUGGGGGUGGGCACUCCUGAGGACUCGUCGGGAGACGGCCUGCUCGAGGAGCGUUUCCCUGAGGGACGACACCAUCGCCAACAAGGCGCGGGCGCACGGAACCGCCAGCAGAACGGCACGCUACCGGUCGGGGUACUGUACCUCUUGCGCCGCAGUUUGGAGGGGGCGGUGAUCUACAUGCAGGCAAGACCUCCCACCUGGAAUUCGACACACUCUCCUGUCGCUGCCUCCCGCACCAUGCGACGCUUCGCUGCGAUGCAAUAUGCCGUGCUCGGCGGCGCUAACGGGCUCGUGCUCUCCGUCAGUAGGCUAGCAGGUCGUGGGCGUGCUGUACCUUCCACAUGUUCUGCGGUCGCAUCGGAUCGCGGGAGUCGUGGAGGAGGCGUCGGACAGUAUGCCCGUUGUCUUGACCGCGGGCGAUUCUGCGCCCUCAGCCAGCGUACCGUAGGCGCCACGUCGCAAGCUCCGCGCGGUCGGGCCGGGCUUAUCAGUCUCUCGCAGCGCAUGCGCGCGACAGCAGUAAUACAGCGAGGAUUGUGGCCUGCACGUGACCGUCCACUACUUUGCACAUCACCUGCCUGUACGAGUAGCAGAUGGGCCGGCAGCGGCCGCUCGCCUCCAGCCUUGGCCUACACGAGGCGCCCGCUUCACGGCAGAACACCCUCCCCCUCCCCCAGUUGGGGCAAAGGUCGCCUUGGUGACGGACCAUCACCACCCCUCCCCAUCCUGCAUGCGCAGAAAGCAGUUGAAUGGGUUUGAGCAGCAGUAGGUGUGGGCCCGGCGCUGAACACGCUGGGCGCGUACACGCGCCGUUUGGUUUCACGAGCGGAGCAUCGACGUUGUGUUCCUCUACACCGCCCCGGCUCACUGAACCCUGCCGACACGCAACUCGCGUACCUUUGAGGAGUGCAACUCCGCGCCGGGCUCGUCUCUCGCCUGCUCGCAUGCGAAGGACGUGGCGUUGGCACUUGCGAGCGGCACCCUUACCCCGCUGCGCGAGGGCCGGAGGGAGGCCACAGAACGGCUGUCGGAGGAGCAAAAUCUGUUGCAGGAUUACGAUGAGGCGAUCCGUGUUUCGUCACAGCGAAUCCUCUCACGAAAGGCGACUGCGGCCUCAGGGAGCACCGAAGUAAAUCCCGGGCGAGAGAGCCCCAUCCUCCCUCUGCAUGCUGAGCCGUGCGUGUGCCCGCUCUUUUCAUCCUCCCCCUUUCCGUCGAUGCUCUCUGAAAGGAAAGAUGGAUGGCCAGGACUCGAGACAUCAGGCCAGCAUGUGGCCAAGUAGUUCUGCAGGGCUCUUGCAGGCACCCCUGCAGCUUCGCGACUUAGGUAGCGAGCGGCACAGCUGCGAAGCGUAUCACAGAAGCUUUUCUUUUCCGUAUUGUUUUUCGUGUGUCGGCUCGCGCGAAGCCAUUCAUCGUGGGCACUAGACUCCCCGCCUCUGACGAAUGGGACUUGAGGAUGACGGAUGCUAUGGCGGGUGUGGUAGGGCAGUGACCACACCCGUGUGUGUGUAUGUGGCACGCUGCGUGGCCAUGCACGCAUGCCUGUCUCUUUCUCUCUGCGCAAGUGUACGUGCGCACCUGUUCGAUGUGAGCCACGUACACGUACACGCCACCGUCGCACAGCCGAUGCUCCACGUCUCCCUUUCCCCUUCUUUCAAAACACGCACAUGCGCACAUGCACGCCUGUGUGUAG